GAUGAACGCUGGCGGCGUGCCUAAUACAUGCCAGUCGAGCGAACGGACGAGAAGCCUGCUUCUCUGAUGUUAGCGGCGGACGGGUGGGUAACACGUGGAUAACCUACCUAUAAGACUGGGAUAACUUCGGGAAACCGUAGCUAAUACCGGAUAAUAUUUUGAACCGCAUGGUUCAAAAGUGAAAGACGGUCUUGCUGUCACUUAUAGAUGGAUCCGCGCUGCAUUAGCUAGUUGGUAAGGUAACGGCUUACCAAGGCAACGAUGCAUAGCCGACCUGAGAGGGUGAUCGGCCACACUGGAACUGAGACACGGUCCAGACUCCUACGGGAGGCAGCAGUAGGGAAUCUUCCGCAAUGGGCGAAAGCCUGACGGAGCAACUCCGCGUGAGUGAUGAAGGUCUUCGGAUCGUAAAACUCUGUUAUUAGGGAAGAACAUAUGUGUAAGUAACUGUGCACAUCUUGACGGUACCUAAUCAGAAAGCCACGGCUAACUACGUG
rnacentral:rRNA from 1 species